rnacentral:rRNA from 1 species
UACGAAGGGUGCAAGCGUUACUCGGAAUUACUGGGCGUAAAGCGUGCGCAGGCGGUUUUGUAAGACAGGUGUGAAAUCCCCGGGCUUAACCUGGGAACUGCAUUUGUGACUGCAUAGCUAGAGUACGGCAGAGGGGGAUGGAAUUCCGCGUGUAGCAGUGAAAUGCGUAGAUAUGCGGAGGAACACCGAUGGCGAAGGCAAUCCCCUGGGCCUGUACUGACGCUCAUGCACGAAAGCGUGGGGAGCAAACAGG